CAUGGGCGAAGCCUGACGGAGCACGCCGCGUGAGGGAUGAAGGCCUACGGGUUGUAAACCUCUUUUUCCAAGGAGGAAGAUCUGACGUUACUUGGAGAAUAAGCAUCGGCUAACCCUGUGCCAGCAGCCGCGGUAAUACAGGGGAUGCAAGUGUUAUCCGGAUUCAUUGGGCGUAAAGCGUCUACAGGUUGAUAUUUAAGUCUUUUGUUAAAUCUUGGAGCUUAACUCCAAACAUGCAAAGGAAACUAUUUAUCUAGAGUAUGGUAGAGGUAAAGGGAAUUUCUAGUGGAGCGGUGAAAUGCGCAGAGAUUAGAAGGAACACCAAAAGCGAAGGCACUUUACUGGGCCAUUACUGACACUCAUUGACGAAAGCUAGGGGAGCAAACGAGAUUAGAUACCUCGGUAGUCCUAGCCCUAAACUAUGGAUACUAGAUGUUGAACGAUUUAUAUCGUACAGUGUCGUAGCUAACGCGUUAAGUAUCCCGCCUGGGAAGUAUGCUCGCAAGAGUGAAACUCAA
rnacentral:rRNA from 1 species